GUGCCAGCCGCCGCGGUAAAACGUAGGAGCCUAGCGUUAUCCGAAUUCACUGGGCGUAAAGCGCGUGCAGGCGGUUCGGUAAGUUGGAUGUGAAAUCUCCUGGCUCAACUGGGAGAGGACGUUCAAGACUGUCGGACUAGAGGACGGUAGAGGAAGGUAGAAUUCCCGGUGUAGUGGUGAAAUGCGUAGAUAUCGGGAGGAAUACCAGUGGCGAAGGCGGCCUUCUGGGCCGUUCCUGACGCUCAGACGCGAAAGCUAGGGGAGCAAACGGGAUUAGAAACCCCCGUAGUCC
rnacentral:rRNA from 1 species